rnacentral:rRNA from 1 species
UGUGCAGGCGGGUGCCUAUGUGCCGUGUGAAAGCUCUCCGCUUAUCGGGGAGAGGUCGCGGUAGACAGGGUGCCUGGAGGCUCGGAGAGGUCAGUGGAAUUCUCGGUGUAGUAGUGAAAUGCGUAGAUAUCGAGAGGAACACCAGUGGCGCAAGCGGCUGACUGGCCGAGACCUGAGCUGAGACACGACGGCGUGGGAGCAAACC